AUAAUGGGUCAGCGACUUAUAUUCUGUAGCAAGGUUAACCGAAUAGGGGAGCCGAAGGGAAACCGAGUCUUAACUGGGCGUUAAGUUGCAGGGUAUAGACCCGAAACCCGGUGAUCUAGCCAUGGGCAGGUUGAAGGUUGGGUAACACUAACUGGAGGACCGAACCGACUAAUGUUGAAAAAUUAGCGGAUGACUUGUGGCUGGGGGUGAAAGGCCAAUCAAACCGGGAGAUAGCUGGUUCUCCCCGAAAGCUAUUUAGGUAGCGCCUCGUGAAUUCAUCUCCGGGGGUAGAGCACUGUUUCGGCAAGGGGGUCAUCCCGACUUACCAACCCGAUGCAAACUGCGAAUACCGGAGAAUGUUAUCACGGGAGACACACGGCGGGUGCUAACGUCCGUCGUGAAGAGGGAAACAACCCAGACCGCCAGCUAAGGUCCCAAAGUCAUGGUUAAGUGGGAAACGAUGUGGGAAGGCCCAGACAGCCAGGAUGUUGGCUUAGAAGCAGCCAUCAUUUAAAGAAAGCGUAAUAGCUCACUGGUCGAGUCGGCCUGCGCGGAAGAUGUAACGGGGCUAAACCAUGCACCGAAGCUGCGGCAGCGACGCUUAUGCGUUGUUGGGUAGGGGAGCGUUCUGUAAGCCUGUGAAGGUGUGCUGUGAGGCAUGCUGGAGGUAUCAGAAGUGCGAAUGCUGACAUAAGUAACGAUAAAGCGGGUGAAAAGCCCGCUCGCCGGAAGACCAAGGGUUCCUGUCCAACGUUAAUCGGGGCAGGGUGAGUCGACCCCUAAGGCGAGGCCGAAAGGCGUAGUCGAUGGGAAACAGGUUAAUAUUCCUGUACUUGGUGUUACUGCGAAGGGGGGACGGAGAAGGCUAUGUUGGCCGGGCGACGGUUGUCCCGGUUUAAGCGUGUAGGCUGGUUUUCCAGGCAAAUCCGGAAAACUAAGGCUGAGGCGUGAUGACGAGGCACUACGGUGCUGAAGCAACAAAUGCCCUGCUUCCAGGAAAAGCCUCUAAGCAUCAGGUAACAUCAAAUCGUACCCCAAACCGACACAGGUGGUCAGGUAGAGA
rnacentral:rRNA from 1 species